GACGAACGCUGGCGGCGUGCUUAACACAUGCAAGUCGAACGGAAAGGCCCUGCUUUUGUGGGGUGCUCGAGUGGCGAACGGGUGAGUAACACGUGAGUAACCUGCCCUUGACUUUGGGAUAACUUCAGGAAACUGGGGCUAAUACCGGAUAGGAGCUCCUGCUGCAUGGUGGGGGUUGGAAAGUUUCGGCGGUUGGGGAUGGACUCGCGGCUUAUCAGCUUGUUGGUGGGGGAGUGGCUUACCAAGGCUUUGACGGGUAGCCGGCCUGAGAGGGUGACCGGCCACAUUGGGACUGGGCUACGGCCCAGACUCCUACGGGAGGCAGCAGUGGGGAGUAUUGCACAAUGGGCCGAAGCCUGAUGCAGCAACGCCGCGUGCGGGAUGACGGCCUUCGGGUUGUAAACCGCUUUCGCCUGUGACGAAGCGUGAGUGACGGUAAUGGGUAAAGAAGCCCCGGCUAACUACGUG
rnacentral:rRNA from 1 species